CCCGUCGCCCCCUCUUUCCCUGCGGAGCGGCUGUGGUGGUGGGUGAGGGGAUUCCAGAGUGGUGGUUGGGGCUGUGGUGUGCGCCGCUUCCCGAGUGGGGCUGCGGGGUGGCUGCGCUUCUCUUUUAUGCUGGGCUGCUGGGGAGGCCUGCCCGGGGCGCCGCUUGCCUAGUGCUUGAGGCUGGAGCUACCGGGCUAGGCGCGCACAUUGGAGCCCCGGGCGCGGCUAGGUAAAGGCUAGCGGCAGGGCCGCACCGCGGUGUAUGGCUCCUCGCUGCUGCCGCCGUCGCGGAGGAGCGUGGAUGCAGGGGUGCACUACGUGUUCCAGCACACCGCGCGCCUCCGCGGAGAGGGAGAUGGUAGCGUAGCGUGGCCGGUUUCCCUUGCAGGAAGCGGUGUCCUGCGGCGCGGGGCACGCUGGGGCCGGUAGUUCGCGGCAGGGGCCAGCGGGGGCGGCGGGCACCAUCUUGCCCUGAAGAGGGCGGCGCCCGACGAGGCGCGACUGGCCUGCGCCAUUUUGAUCGCUUGAAGGCUCGGCCGGCGGCGGGGGCGUUUCGGGUGCCCUGAGGGGCUGAUGAUAUGAGAAAUACUGCUUGCAGGCGGCAUCGGCUGGGGUCGGGAGCAGCCUCUUGCCUGGGUGGUGCUGCCUUUCUUUUCACUCCCUUGCCAUUUGAGUUCACACUUAAAAUACUCGCUGACGCUGAGGAAUGAAAUCGACCCAAACGUCACCAUGGGCAUGAGGCGUUCUAGUAUGAUGGAGCAGUUUUCAGUGGUGUCCAGUGUAGAAGCAUUAAGAGGAAAAUUAUCAAAAAUGUAGGAACAAAUGCUUUUAGCUUAUUAAGUGAUGAGUUGGAACACUUUGCCAGUGCUGCCUGACAAAUGUGGAUGAUCUGUAACUGGAAGGAAGAGUUAACACCGGAAGAGUUUUUUUUUGGCUUGGAGUGCGAUGCUGUGCUUUUAAAAGCCUGCUGAAGUUUUGUUUAGUGGAUACUGUUCUUAGAAGCUGCAUGUUAACCAAAAUCACACACUCUGCAUAUUUAAAACAGUGCUUUUUUCCAAAACAUUGAGCUGCCCUCUGUAGGGAGAAUAGCAGCAAUAUUAGGGAAAUCAGUGUUGAGCUUCAAUAGGUGAAAAAACCCCUCAGGGUAUUUAGCCCUUUUAAAAUAUCAUAAGGGUCUGCAGAGUUGCUGAUACUGAAGAUCUGUAAUAAAACAAUGGAACUCACAGGUAGGCCCUGUAAAGACAGGGAGAAAGCAAAAUGGGUACUCAAAUUCAAACCAGUGAGCCUGCUUUUUGAGGGUGGGGUCAUGCAGGAGGUGGGAUGAAGUAGAUGAGGUGGAUGUGGCAUGGAAGCAUAAACAUGAAACACUUGCAAGAAGUAUAUACAGGUAUCAUGAGAAAUGUGUGGUUACAGAAAAGGUAAGGUCCAAGGCUUGGGUUGCAGUCUGUCUAGUGGGGGAGAGGGAAAUUUAUGCCAUUACAGCAUGAAAAAACCAGUACCACAACAGUGGAACUGCCCUUCAAGAAGCAUACUGCCAAUGUUAGCUUUGUGUGGAAAAGAGGUCAGCAGUGGGAGAACGGGGCACACACAUUGGAGCUCAUGCUUUGAGCAGCCACUUGAAAACUAGUGGGGCUGUAUUCCAGUAGCAGCAUAUUUGGUGUAUUCAGCAAAUCGGCCCUCUUCCACAGAAGACUGAGGGAUUGUAAAUUGGUCACAGAGUAAACUGGAUUUUAGAGACAAAUCAUUAUGUACAUAAAAUGUAAUCUGUCUUAAAGCAUGACUCAAACCUGAUUUAUCAGAAAUCCUUUAUAAAGGAAGAAAUGAGAUAGUGACAGGAUACGUAAAAAUUGAUAGAGCUACAGUAACUGAAUCAUUUCAAAAUGCAGCAAAAUAAAACUACCUUAUAGGCUGCAGUCAAGAAUGAGUGCACUGGAUGUCAGCACUGCUCUCCCUUGAGAAUUGGAGGAAUUCCUAUACUCAUGGCAUGUGCUUGUAUCUAAGUGACAAAUCCCAUGAAAAGCCUAAUUUUCCGUCUAGGCAGUAUCAUGAAGAGCAGAACAUUACCAGUAGGGGCACCUAAAGCAUAGGGAAUAUCAGAAAUAAGUAUCCAUGUAACUACUAAAAUGUAUGCUAGGGAUAUGUCUGAGCUCCGGGAAUGUGUUGGCUAACUGAGCACCUCCUGUGCUGUGGUUAUUGCUAACAAGCAGAAACCAGUGACUUUGCCUAAAGGCUGCACCUUUUCAGCAAGUGGCUGUGUAAAUCACAGUGUGCUGGAACCUUCAGAAAGCUACAGAGCAGCUUUCCCUUCAGUGGGAUUUAUUAUUUUGUGAACAUGCUAUUGAGAAGGGUAGAUAUUUCUAUGUGCUAUGUUUUGUACAUGCUAUUUCUUGAAUAAAGAUGAGGAUGUGGAAAACCUA